rnacentral:rRNA from 1 species
AGCAGUAGCCACGGGAAUACGAAGGGGGCUAGCGUUGUUCGGAAUUACUGGGCGUAAAGGGCGCGUAGGCGGCCAUUCAAGUUAGAUGUGAAAGCCCUGGGCUCAACCUAGGAAUUGCAUUUGAUACUGUUUGGCUUGAGUUCGGGAGAGGUGAGUGGAAUUCCCAGUGUAGAGGUGAAAUUCGUAGAUAUUCGCAGGAACACCAGUGGCGAAGGCGGCUAACUGGUCCAUAACUGACGCUGAGGUGCGAAAGCGUGGGGAGCAAACAGGAUUAGAUACCCCUGUAGUCCCUGUCUCUUAUAA